rnacentral:tRNA from 1 species
GCAUUUUUAAUUCAGUGUGUAGAAUAUUGAUUUCCAAAAUCAAGUGUCAAAGGUUCAAAUCCUUUAAAAUGCG